GGGUCACCAGGAGAAACACUGAUGCUGCAGUGUCAGAGCGAGAAGAAGCUGUGCUAGCUAGCACCUGUCAUGGCGUUAAACCAUCCCAUACCCACCAGAACAGGACUCGCUGUCGGUCUCUGACAAGAUCAGCAUGUAACAGGUUUGAGCGGGAUUGACAAAAUCAUCUACGGGCGGCAUGUGAAAGGCGCCACAGAACUGCAUCAUCAAACAUCAUAAAUACAGACUUCCCAUGCGCUGAGUGCGGCCGACUCUGUGCAUCAGGGUUCGGACUUCAGAGUCAUAUGCGUAGCCAUAGAGAAGAACUGUGACAAUAUCAUCAUCAGCGAUGGACUACCAACACCCACCAGAUUCAGCUUGAAGUGGAAGGGCUGAAGCAUUGUAAAGAAAGUCCGUACUUGUGGUAGUUCUAGCCCGGCAAAGAGCAAGAAGCAUAAAUCUCCUGAGAAGAUGGCAAGGGAGAGAUUUCCACUCCACUUCUGGAGAAGCAAGACGUUUGGCUCAAGUUCAGGUUCCAGCAAAGGAUACUUGGCAGGAUUAGGCUGAUGAAGACCCCCUCCCCCAAUCACAGAGAGAUAACAGUACCUCAAAGAGAAGAAGCUGC